UCAUUUUGGCAGAUUAAGUGCAUUGAAUUUAGAAUUCAAAUAUAAAAUUAAUAUUUUAAAUGAUA
rnacentral:tRNA from 1 species